UUAGGGUUGAUAUAUUUUCGGCUUUUUUUGCAAAUAGUCUCCUGACAAAAUUUUAUUUUAAAAUUAGUCCUAUCAGAUUUGAAAUUGCAAAAAUGACCAUACUCCUGCCACGCGGGCGCCACGUCAGCGCCACGCGGGCAGACUGGGGCCAGGUAUGUAAGUUGAACACGGUGAACCAUUCACCGUGUUCAAACACAAUGAAUGGUUCACCGUGUUCAAUGUAUUAUACCGGCCCAAGCUAGUGUGUAUAAUACAUUGGACACGGGGAAUGUGGUUCACCGUAUUGGACACGGUGUAUAAUACAAAUACCUGCGACUUAGCCUUUUUUUGACUAAGUGCUAGUUAUUUAUAUUGGACAUGGUGAAUGAUUCACCGUGCCUAAAUACUAUGAAUGGUUCACCGUGUUCAACUUAAACAACCUGGUCCCCGCCAGGCCCGCGUGGUGCUGACGUGGCGCCCGCGUGGCAGGCCCAGGGCUAUUUUUGCAAUUUAAAUUUUGACAGGACCAUUUUUGAAAUAAAAUUUGUCCAGAGGGCUAA
rnacentral:lncRNA from 1 species